rnacentral:rRNA from 1 species
AGUGAACGCUGGCGGUAGGCCUAACACAUGCAAGUCGAACGGCAGCACAGUAAGAGCUUGCUCUUACGGGUGGCGAGUGGCGUACGGGUGAGGAAUACAUCGGAAUCUACUUUUUCGUGGGUGAUAACGUAGGGAAACUUACGCUAAUACCGCAUACGACCUACGGGUGAAAGCAGGGGAUCUUCGGACCUUGCGCGAUUGAAUGAGCCGAUGUCGGAUUAGCUAGUUGGCGGGGUAAAGGCCCACCAAGGCGACGAUCCGUAGCUGGUCUGAGAGGAUGAUCAGCCACACUGGAACUGAGACACGGUCCAGACUCCUACGGGAGGCAGCAGUGGGGAAUAUUGGACAAUGGGCGGAAGCCUGCUCCAGCCAUACCGCGUGGGUGAAGAAGGCCUUCGGGUUGUAAAGCCCUUUUGUUGGGAAAGAAAAGCAGCAGGUUAAUACCCGGCUGUUCUGACGGUACCCAAAGAAUAAGCACCGGCUAACUUCGUG